GCAGAACGCGAAGAACCUUACCUACCCUUGACAUGUCUGGAAUCCCGAAGAGAUUUGGGAGUGCUCGCAAGAGAACCGGAACACAGGUGCUGCAUGGCUGUCGUCAGCUCGUGUCGUGAGAUGUUGGGUUAAGUCCCGCAACGAGCGCAACCCUUGUCAUUAGUUGCUACGAAAGGGCACUCUAAUGAGACUGCCGGUGACAAACCGGAGGAAGGUGGGGAUGACGUCAAGUCCUCAUGGCCCUUAUGGGUAGGGCUUCACACGUCAUACAAUGGUCGGGACAGAGGGUCGCCAACCCGCGAGGGGGAGCCAAUCCCAGAAACCCGAUCGUAGUCCGGAUCGCAGUCUGCAACUCGACUGCGUGAAGUCGGAAUCGCUAGUAAUCGCGGAUCAGCAUGUCGCGGUGAAUACGUUCCCGGGUCUUGUACACACCG
rnacentral:rRNA from 1 species